GGCAGCCACACUAGGAGGGGAGUGGCCAACUGAGAACGGGGUUGACCAUCUUGCUGGCCACCAGCCCAGGUUUCUGCACUUCUUCUGUUAGCAGUAAACACUGCCUCCUGGUAGGACAAGGGACCUAAAAGAAGUGACCCAGAAUCAAGUACCAAGGAGGGACUGAACAUUCAUUGCCUGAGACUACACACCAACUUGAAAGUAAAACUUCAUCAUUAAAGCAAAAGGAAAUAACAAUAGGAUUCUUGCUUCAUUUAAAAGCCAGCAUCAAGAUACCUGCUGCUAGUGAAUACCAGGAAUCACUGCAAAUAUAACGAGGCAAUUUUAAGGUGGAAAAGCAGGUGAAGGCUCAAUACAUACAGACAAGGAUGACAACAGGAGAACAGGCAGGGCUGUUCAGUUAACUAGUGGACUCUUACACAGGAGCCUGAGUGCUGGUAAACUCUGAUACCAGUAAGGAGGUUUGUAAAUUCUCAGUGUCUUGCAUCUUAUAUGACUUUUAAGGUAAUAAGAGUGGUGUAAGCUUCACAGGCACUUUCAAUGAGAUGCCAAUUUAGAGUACCUGGGCCUGAUUCUCCAUGGCAGUCGAAGUGAGUAUAAAACACAAUUAUAUAAGUCUGACAGCAUUUCACACCCACUGUGGUCAGAGAGAGAUAGCAGUACAAAGUAUUAGAGAAUUAGUAUUAGGGAUGGAAAGGGAAAGCAUAUUGGUAGCUAAUUUGCAUGCAGGGCAGCACUUCGGUAAAGUGCGCGUUUUGUCUCCAUGGCCCAAAUUCUGCAAAAAAGCAGCCUGCAGGCUGUUGAAAUCUAUGCAGGCACGAAGGUUUGCCCAUGUGGGUUCUCCUUGCAGAACCAGGGCUAAAAAUGGAUCUCAUACCCAAAACUUAGAAACAGGAGAGUUGAAUAUCUGAAUGAAAUAGGGCUGGUUAGCAAUAGGUUGACAUUUAUCCAAAGACCCUAAAUUUAAAUGAUUAAAAAAAAUAAAAAAAAAUAAACAGAACUCAGCUUCAAAGCACCCAUCCUUUGGGUUUGCAAAACUGAAAUCUAAUCAAGAUUUUCAAAUGUAAUAAUAUUAAGAACAAAAUUUGGUACGCUUGGCCUUUCUUUACUGUUUUUCUAACCUUCAGUAAUGGCAAAAUGAAAGUGAUCUUUGGCGCUUUUGGGGGGGUGAGCUAGGGAAGAGAGUUAUGGAAAACCCUCUCCCAGAUGUACUAGCUAGGAAACUACUAUACAUUCUAACAUCAGAUAGCUAUGAACAUUUGGGAGGGAAGGGAAAGGAGGGCCUAGCUUUAUGUUCUAAUAAAAAACAUUUUCUUUGCCAAACAUUUUGAAAGGACCCAGUGGGUGAAUGGUAACAUUUUCUUAAAAAGUAAAAGAAAACACCCCACAUAAAAGGCAGAUCAUUGGUGCUUAUAAAGACGAUUACUAGUUUUUAAAACUGCUGGGAAAUACAGGGACAGAGGCUUGCAAGACAAAAGACCUCAUUAUUUAAGAAAGGAUCUAGCAUCAGGCCAGUGGGACUCCUUACAACUUUGUCAUUGAACAUCUUCAGACUAUUAUAGAAGUAGAAAAAUACAGAUCCCGGGGAAUAAAAUAAAAUCUUCACACCCACUGUGCUUUGGAUCCUAAAUAAAAUGCAUUAGGCUACUUCCUUUCUCCUCCCUCAUGCUCCCUAUAAUCUUGGUCUUCACCAGCCUACUUGCUUUCUUGCGUUUCACUGGAGGCUUAAAGGGUCUGCCCAGUCAGUCAUUACCAGAAAAGGAAAGGUGGUGCUUGAUGGAAAUGUGCAAGGGGCUAACAAGAGCAGAGCAGAGAUCUGAGAGGGCUGGGCAUCACUCUCUAGACACAUUUCAACUAACAGGAAGAAGCAUGACCAAGUGCUCAUUACCCAUGCCAGAAGCUGUGCAUAUAACUGAUUUUGUUUUGAAGUUAACUGGCAAUUCCAGAAAUACUGGGGGAAAAAAUGUUCAGGCCUACUUGACUUUUUCAAAAUUUUGCCAAA